rnacentral:lncRNA from 1 species
UCCUACCUAAUUAAAAAUUUUGAUAAUCCAUCACUAAUAUAUUUCUAAACAUGAUUAGCAAUAAAUUUUACUGUUUAGCUACAAAAAUUCUCCGAUCACUUGUAAUUCAUACUUUUUUUAAGUAGUGAUUAAUCUUCACUAGGCUUUAUCCAGUAUCCACUGCUAUUUUGUUCCUUUUCUCCAACCAUAGAUACUUGAUAUUUCCUAAUCUUGUCUCUUCACCAUAAGCAAUCCCCAACUAUACUCUAUAAUCUUUAUCUAAUUAAAAGCUAGAAAGAAAGAAGAAAAAAGGAGAAAAAUCAGCAGGGACGACCUGAGGAACAUAUAUAUUAUGCCAAAAACGUUAGAAUUUGUGGUUUUGGUUUGUGUUGUAAGCUGUGUAGGUGCAGAACAUAUAAUGUUGGUGGUGGUCUUGGAUGAACUGUUCCUCCUGAUAGAGAAGUUGAUUACAAAAGUUGGGCUGCAAACCAAACCUUCAAAUCUGGAGAUACUUUAGGUAAGCAUGUUAAAAUUCUCUAACUAAAAUUUAGGCAUCAUUUAUUUUUAUUAAGAUUAAGAUUCGUGAAUUUGAAUAUAUAUUUUGUAUUUAAAAAAUAUAUAAUUUAAAUAAAAUAUUAAUCAUCCAUGAUUUGUCCAAUUGGAUGCAUGUAAAGAUUUGGUGAUAUAUAGCUUAAAUUGAUUUAUAAAAAUUUUUGUUAAAUAUUCAUUUGAUUUGUUAUAUCUGAACAUAAUAAAGAGAAAAAAAAUUUAUCAGGUACUUAAACAAAUUAAUCAAAAAAAUUCAAAAAAUAAAAACUUAGUAGAAUUAUUAGAGGCUUGCGUUAUGAUACAUUUCUUAGACCAUUUCAGUCCAAGUGAUUUUUGAGCGGGCCAAUGACAUUUUAACAUGUCUAAAUUUAACUCAACUUGCUCAGUUGAUAUCUCAGGAAUAUCUAGUAGUAACGUGGCCGACAAUAAUAGUUAAUAGUGAUUGUUGAUGGUGAUAGUUGGUGAUGAAGGAGGCUAAUAAUUGUAAUGGAUGAUAGUGAUAAUUAAUAAAAUAGAUGAUCACUAAUAGUGGUGGCUGGCGAUAUAUAGUGAUGAUUGAUUGUAUUGAUUAUAAAUGAUUGUUUUGGUAAUAACAACUAACUAUGGUGACUAGGGGCGAUAUAAUAGCUAAGGAUGGUGAUUGUGGUGAGUGGUAUUAAAUGAUAAUGAUAAGUAAGGAUGAUGGUAGUUGAUAAUAAUGGGCCAUAACAAUAGAUAAUAGUGAAAAUGGAUAUGAUAGUGUUGAAAUGUUGUCUUUGUAGAAAUCUUUAAAAGGUUAACAUCUUAAUAAUAUAUAUAUAUAUACAUAUAUGCAAUAAGUAAUUGUGUAAAAUAAUAUUAUGCAAUAAUUAAGGUUUAGGCAUAACAUAUUUCCUUGAUGAUAAAAAUUCAAAUCAUUACUAAAAUACAAACAAAUGAGCCUUAGUACUUACUAAAAUACCAGUUGCCUUAGCUAAUCAUGAGAUUUUUGUUUAAAUAGUUCUUUAUAUUCUUUUUUAAUAUUUUACUUAAUUGAUGUUCAACUAAUAGGAAGAAUAAGGGUAAAUCUAAAAAAAGAAAACAUGCCUUUCGAUUCAUUUUAUGUAUUUAAUUUGACUAAGUAACAAGUUUAAAAAUAUAAAAAAGACAUUUAAUUUUUGUGAUCUAAAUAAAGAUGUAUAUAUAACACCAAAACUACCAUUUGAAUCUUCUGGCUUAGAAAUAUCAUGGAAUAUCUAUUAGGGAAUCGCAUUAGCCACAGAAUUAAAAUAUUAGAAUAUAAACUUAGAAAAAUAUAAAAAGGUGACAUUCUUUUUUAACUCAAUUUUUCUAAUAUUAUUUUAAUUUUGAAAACCCAUAUAUUUGUUCAAGAUGGUGAUUGACGUCUCUAUGGAACGAAAUUUUAUCAAAUUUGAAUCCGUAUAAAAUUCGAAUUAUAUUAAAUUCAAAGUAUAUUAGUCUCAAAUAAAUAUUGUGGAUUAAUAUAAUUGAAUUAAUUAUUUAAGUCCAAACAUAUAUGGAUGUAAUUAAAUUUUAAUUUUUAUUGGGCUAGCCCAUUGAUUUGGGCUACAAACGAUAAGCCCACUUUGUUAAACCCAAGAUAUUGUCAUAUUCUAGAGGCCUAAAUGAGUGUCACGUGUCAAAUGACAUGGCAUGUCAAGUCAAGUAAAUGAGCCAAUAGGAUCAUGCCACAUAUCACAAUGAUGCAACUGGCCCAAUGAAAUAAAAAGCUCAUCAAAUGUGUCAUGUUAUUUAAAUCUGAUUGACCAAAAGAAGUUCAUCUUCAUCAUGACUCCUUCCUGGCUACAACUAUAAAUAAGAGUCUCAUAAUUAAGAAAAUGGACCAAGAACUCUAACAAGAAGCAAGAGAAAGAUCGUGGAUCAAACACUGCAAUUUCUCUACAAAGCUCAAGCAUUCAAAUUCAGUUCAUCAAGAUUCAAGAUAAAGACCGCAAGAUUCAAGAACAUACUCAAAAGCCCUUGAAUUCAAGCACAAGUCAAGAUCAAGUCCAUCAAAUCAACAAAUCAAGUUCAAAUUCAAGAUCAAGAUUUAAGCCCUUGAAUUUAUAUUUGAAAAGGCGAAUCAGAGGAUUCAUAGAGAUUGUAACACUCACAUUGAAAUCAAUAAAAUGAUUGUUGCAGUAUUUCUCUUGUCUCGAUUAUUUAUUUUUUUCGACUCGAAAAUUUUAUUGUUCAACAAAUUCUGGCAUGCCCGGUGGGACAAAGUUCACCUCUCAUUUCAACUUUUUCAACAUUAAAAUUCAAGAACACUGAAAUGACUUUCACGAUAGAAGAACAGUUGGCAAGCUUGGUUAAAGUAGUUGAAUACUUGACAAAUCAAGUGCAAGAACAAGAUGCUAAACUUGCCAGGUUAAUAAAUAAUAUGGAGAGCAUGUAUGAGAGAGAAUCAAGUCAGACACCCAUGAAACUUCCUGAAUUCAAGCGAAAAGAGAGUCGUUCAUAAAGCAAACAACAACGACCAAAGAGCUUCAAGUCUCUGUUGAAGGUUUGAUUCCUAUUGGUCAAUUGAAAGACUUCAUCAUGGGGGCAAUCAAAGAUAAAUUUAGGUCCUCAUCCAAAUUUUCUCUCAUAUAUACAAAGUUGUAUACACAAAGGAUUGAUAACACGAAGAUGCCUGAUGGAAUCAACCUCCUAAGCUUUAAUAUUUUGACGACAAAGGAAACCCUAAACAAUAUAUAGCGCACUUUAUUGAGACUUGCAAUGAUGAUGGAAUAUAUGGUGAUCAUCUCUUCAAGCAGUUCGUACGAUUUCUCAAAGAAAAUGCCUUUGAUUGGUACACCAACCUUGAACCUAGUUCCAUAGAUAAUUCGGAGCAGUUGGAGCAAAAGUUUCUUAAUCAUUUCUAUAGCAUAAGAAGCGUCGUUAGUAUGACUGAACUUAUAAAGGCUCGCUAACAUGAAUAUGAUCCAGUUGUUGACUUUAUCAAUCGGUGGAGUAGUUUGAGCCUCAACUGUAAAGAUUGCCUCAAUGAAACUUCUAGCAUUGAAAUGUGCAUUCAAGGUAUGAAUUGGGGCCUUUGCUACAUCUUGUAAGGAUUAAAACCUAAUAUAUUUGAAGAGAUGGCAAAUCGUGCGCAUGAUAUAAAAUUAAGCAUGGCUAUAAGAGGAGAUUAACAGAAACUUAUCUGUGAGCCUUACGAAGUUUAAGGUAUAGAAGACCUUCAUAGUGGGGGCAAGUUUACCCUCCGAAUAUGUCUCAGUGCUCCUCAACGCAUGAGCUUAAACUGCAAGUUGUAAAACUCCCCAACGCACGAGUCUGAACUACAAGUUAUAACGCUCUUCAAUGUAUGAGCUUAAACUGUAAAUUACAAAACUCCUCAGUGCAUAAGUCUAAACUGCAAGUUAUAACGCUCCUUGAUCCAUGAGCUUAAAUUGCAUAUCACAGAUCUUCUUAAGUUUAAGAAAAAUAUUAAAGUCACAAGGAUCCUUAAACCUAAGCUAAAUCUCAAGUUUAAUUGCUUCUCAACGCAUGAGCUUAAGAUGCAAGUUAUAAAAAUCCUCAACACAUGAGUCUAAACUGUAAGUUAAAUUGCACCUGAAAACACACGAGCUUAAACUAAGUGUCACGAAGCUCUAUAAAUUUGAGCCAAAUCUCCAAGUUAUAAAGCUCUUCAAAUCUGAGCUAAAACUUUAAAUCACUAUUCAAAUUCAAGUCAAAUCUUGAAAUCACAAAGCUCUUCGAAUUUGAGCUGUCUUUAUGUUGCAAAGCUCACCAAACUACGAGCUAAAUUUUCAAGUCACAAAUUUUUUUAUAUUUGAGCGAAAUCUUUUGGUUGAAAUGCUCCAUGAAACACGAGCCUAAACUAUCUAUCACCAAGCUCUUCAAAUUUAAGCUAAAUGUUAAAAAGUUCAUCAAAUUGUGAGCAAAACUUUCAACUCACAAAGUUCUUCAAAUUUGAAAAAAAAAAUCUAAGUUGAAAUGCUCCUUGAACAUGAGCCUAAACUGUAUAUCACUAAGCUCUUCAAACUUGAGUUAAGUAUUCAAGUCAAAAUGCACCUCGAAACACAAACCUAAACUGUAUGUCACUAAGCUCGUUAAAUUCGAUCUAACUCUUCAAAUCUAAACACUCCUUAAGGAAUGAGUAUAAACUGCAUGUACACUCUUUAAGGUACGAUUAUAAACUGCAUGUUCACUCUUGACCCACAAGAGUAUAAAUUAUGUACGGCUCAAAAAAAAUAUCCGCUAGGUUGAAAACCUCAAAAGAGGUGACCAAGGCAAAUGUGAGGAUGCAAAAAAUAAUAAUAAAAAUAAAAAAUAAAACACUCACCCAGACCUACAUUGUGACUUGUUCCUCUUUACCGAGGUACAUAGGUGCUUAAAAUUUCAUUCUGAGUUCAGUUACAUGAGUGUCAAAAAAAUACAUGUCCCUACUUGAUAUCAAUUAAGUUUUGGUCUUAUGCCAAAUACUUGUGGCUAAAAAAAAUCUCUAUCAAUAGGAUUUGGAAUACUCAAAGCCUUUAGUUUGGGGCAUAGAUCUGCCAAACAUGUAAUUAUCAAUUUUACAAGUCAAAAGUUUUAAUUCGUAAGACUUUCAAACUGAAGUUUCAAGUCUAUCCCGGUUGUGCGACAGGGGCGCUAAGCCAAUAGUCAUCAAGUUUGAAGAGAAAGCCAGAGUUUAAUACUACAACAUCAACACAUCAAAAUAAGCAAGCAAUAGUAAAAGAAAUAUGCAAUGUAAAGAAAAAGAGUUUCGAUUACAACUAAUAGAUCCAACUACUCAAUAAAAGACCAAAAGAAAGCAACAAAAAGGUUUGAAGGAAAAGAAACAUCUCCUAAGGCUAAUCUAAGUAUAGAUUAUAAUUGACUAAAUCUUAUAAAGCAGCCUCUAAGACUUGCUUUUUCUUCUCCACGACCUUUGAGGCAUUUUUUGUUGCCAGAGAGGCCUCAGAACACUUGGAAAACUCUUCUUCAACAGCUGAAACUUUGGAUUCCAUCUCUGCUACUUCUUGCUUGGCAGUAUCUCGGUGAGCUUUUAACUUCUUUACCUUCUUUCUCGCCUUUUCAAGAGAUUUCCAGGAGGAUAAAAUUUUUUUAGAUUUCUUAUCCCUCUCCCUCGACACAAUCUCAAAAUGCUCUUUGGCUUUUAAAUAUGGCUCUGACUCUUUAAUUUUUUUGGUUUUAUCAACAAGGAUGGAUCGUGUUUGGUCAUAGGAAGUCGCAAUCCCAAAGAAAGACCCCAAUAAAUUCUGCAAUGGGGAAAUAUCCGCACCCAUUCCUUUCAUGUCGUUGAGUAUGACUUCGAUAUUAUCUUGGAUAGAAAAAGCAUGAUUUGGAGUAAAGCCUACAAGUUUGGUGCAGAUACUAGCCCAGGCCUUCAUGAUAAACUUUUUUUUAAGCUCUGAGACAACCUUUUUGCCAUAAAAAAUAGACAUGGUUACUGUUGGUCGGCGAGGAAGGUUUGACUCUACAUUUGUUUUAACUUUACCGCAAAGAUCAGAAGUGACCUCUUUGGAUAGUGGAAGUAACUCUCUUGAGUCUAGACCUACUACGGACUUACUACUACCUUGUGUCUUACUUUGGUAAGGAUCUUUCAAAACUUAGACAUUGUCUGUCUGCAUACACGCAAUAAAAACAUUAUAUGAGGGGUAUGUAAAGGUGAUUCAUAUGCUAUGAAAUAGUAGAGAGUUAAUUCAUUACCUUUGCUAUGGCUGGCGGAGUCUUCGAUGAACUAUCAUCACUAGAAAGAAUUUCCACAUGGGAGUCGGAAUCACCUGGCUUGUCCAAAGAUGGUUUUACCUUCUUCCAAAAAUGAUCUUCAUGAAUACUAUCGCUCUCGUCUUGAGGUGUUCAUUUAUUGAAAACCUGUUAAGUUUGGGCAGGCGGCUCCUCUUUUUUAGUUGUUGCAUGCAGGGGUUCCAUGACUUUGUAUGGAACGACUACCUUUGAUUUCAAAAUAGGAGGCUUAACCUUAAUGGGGACCUCCUUACCAUGUUCUUAAGGAGUAUCAAUAAUAGGAGCUAAGGCAUUCACCAAAGAUUGCAAGUUAGCUUCAAGAAAGUUCCCAUAAGCUUUUUCCCACCAAGAUUUAUACGCAGUAGAGAAGUAUUUUCGCACAUUAGGUUUGGCCGUGGGAAAUAUUUCCUUUGCCAUGGAUCCAUGUAAUACAUAAGUGCAAAAAAAUCUGAGUCUUUCAUCAAGGGAUGCACUGCAAAUAUCAUUUUCUAAGCUACCAGGGAGGAGUUGAUAGAAUCCAAACUAACGACCAAAUCGAUGCGGGUUGUAUGGCUCAAGGAUGAAUGAGUCUUCAUACCUUAAAGGGAGAAAGUUAAAAUGGAGACUCAUAAAGUAACUUAUCUCUGACUCAUAAUCUUUAUCACUAUCCAUAAAAUAGUGAAUAUUGGACUUGAUCGACAUGGUAGAAAUCCAAGAAAUGUUAUCUCCUCGGUAGAUACGCUAUUUGGCAUACUUUUCAUCAAAAUAUCUUGCAGAACCUUCUCCAGAAUAUGCUACCAUUAAUGGAGUGGAUGGCCUAUUAGGUAGAUAAAAUGUAUCUUGAAAUAGUAAGCAAGCCAACCAUACACAUAAUGGAUUAAAAAGGAUACUUUGAUGUUCUCAAGAUGAGAACAUUUGGUAAUCCUUUUUAAACCAUUAUAAAUGCUUGACAUGACAGGAACAACAAGACUGAAAGUUUGUUUAUUGGCUAUCCUAGUUGCAAUUCUAAAAGUUCCCGGGCGAAUGAAAUCCCCAUCCUUAGAAGAAAACACAAUGGUACAUAACCAACAUGAUAAAAAUGCUAUCAAAUAUGUAUCAACCCUAUGUCUCUACCAUACUCUAAGUUUAGAAAAUAUUGCAUCAACUGCGCUCGACCACUUUGCUGUAUUAGGAAUAGUCCUAGUUGGGUUAUGUGUUGACUUCAAGCGAACAGAUUUUUUCUUUUUCCUCACUGGAGCUGUCUCAUAUCUCAAGACUCUUUUACACCAAAACUUUAUCCACUUGCUUAGAGUAACUCUUGGAAUAUGAGACUCUACUUCUUGAAGAUGCUGAAAGGCUAAAAAUAAUAAUUCGCCGGUACGAUGGAUGAAUCUCUCAUUCUUCUCAUCAACACCGGUGAGCUCUUUGAAUUCAGGCACUAUUUCUUCAUAAGGAAGACCUCCGAUAGGUAGGCCCCCAAUUUCAUGUAAAUAGAUAACUCUCCAAUCGACGUCAGCAACGUGUUUUUCCUUGAACACCAAGCUUCAAGAAAGGCUUGUAAUAUGUUUGAACUUCGAUCAUAGGUAAAUAGGGAAGCAUAAACAACAUCAUAUACUUUUGCUGCCUUCAAAGUUUGCUGACUUCUAGCCAAGACAUCCUCGGCCCAUUCCCCGUAUCUUUGAGUAUGAUGAAAUUCACCAUUUAUCUCCAUCGUACUGCCCAACAUACAUCUCCCUAGAGUAUUUAGUGCCCUAAGCAAGGAAGGGUGCUCUCAACAUUCAGUUGACUCUGGUUUGGAGUCUGAAGAGUCCAUACUUUAAGGGAUCAAUUAGAACCAAUGUUAUGUUCGAAAGUCCAGUUCAGCAUAUGAAGAGAAUUUAUCAAGGGCGGCCACGGAUCCGCACACCUACCGACUAGUGAAGUGUGAGUCAAUAGCUUGGAUAAAAUUUUACCAUUAUCAGCCUCAAUAAUAAGGAGAUACUUAUUCCUGGAAGAUUGAGUGUUAUAGUACUUAAACUGAACCACUGCUGCAAUCUGCAUGAACAAAUGAGGUUUAGUUAAAUACAAAGUUGAAGUUGGACAAAAUACUUGAACAAAUGGUAGCUCACAGAAAGUUCUGCUAUAUUGUGGCUUUAUUCAAAGAAAAAGGAAAUUCUCACCAUCUUGAAGCCAAAUUGUUCGGUCUUAGAGUGACGGAGGCAAAGUUAAACUCUCGCACCCUAAGCCGAUUGUUGCAAAGCCACUAUCUUAAAGUCAAAUUGGUCGAUCUUAGAGUGUACAGAGGUGAAAUUAAACUCUCGCAUCCUAAGCCGAUUGUUGCAAAUCUACCAUCUUGAAGUCAAAUUGGUCGGUCUUAGAGUGUACGAAGGCGAAGUUAAACUCUCGCACCCUAAGCCGAUUUUUGCAAAGCCAUCAUCUUGAAGUCAAAUUGGCCGGGUCUUAGAGUGUACGGAGGCGAAGUUAAACUCUCGCACCCUUAGCCAAUUGUUGCAAAGCCACCAUCUUGAAGCCAAAUUGGUUGGUCUUAGAGUGCACGAAGGUAAAGUUAAAAUCGCGCACCCUAAGCCAAUUGUGCAUAUUCCUAUUUGUUUCAAUCCUACCAAAAAAAAUAAAAAAGGCGAAGAGACGAAACAAUAAUAAACAAAUUAAGGAAGAAAAACUCACCGAUAAUACUCCGAUUGUGGCACAAUGAUCGACCCGAUGCAAAAGGAGAUCUUCAAUCGGGACAAAAAAAAAUUACUACACUGGAUUAUAAAUUUCAAUAAUGCAUCACCUCUAUUUAUAGAAGAAGCAAGGUGGUUUAUAACCCCUAAUCCAUGAUGAACUUGAAAGGAUUUGAAGAAAUUCUAAUAAAAUAUGGACAAAUGAUGCAAUAGAGGCAGUGUAGUAGUGAUCAAUUCCAAGUACACAUUUGAAUUGGAUACUGAAAUGGUUUCCUCCAAGUAAAAAGAGUCAAUUUCGUCACCUUAUGGCAAAGCAACUGUGAAUUCACAAUAAUUUGUGAUAAAUAUUAUAAUAAUAAUAUUUAAUAAUUAUUAUUAUCAUGAUCACUUAAUAUUGUUUUUGGUAUUUGGGUAUUAUCCUAUCUUGACAUUACACGUGUGAGUUCUUACUGAUUCCAGUUAAAUUAUCAGGUUAAUACUUCAAGUUUAGUCAUCAAUAAAUUAAAUAUCUCGACGGAUCUUGAAUGAGGGCAAUUUUUAUGCAAUGAAAUUUUAUUAAAUUUGAAUGCGUACAAAAUUUGAAUUAUAUUAAAUUCAAAAUAUAUUAGUCCCAAAUAAAUAUUGUGGAUUAAUAUAAUUUAAUUAAUUAUUUAAGUCCAAACAUGUAUGGAUUUAAUUAAAUUUUAAUUUUUAUUGGGCUAGCCUAUUGAUUAGGAUUACAAACGACAUGCCCAUUUUGCUAAGCCUAAGAUAUUGUCAUAUUCUAGAGGCCCAAAUGAGUGUCAUAUGUCGAAUGACGUGGCAUGUCAAGUCAAGUAAAGGAGCCAAUAGGAUCAUGUCAUAUAUCACAAUGAUGCAGCAAGUCCAAUGAAAUUAAAAAAACCCAUCAAAUGUGCCAUGUCACUUAAAUCUGAUUGGCCAAAAGAAGUUCAUCUUCAUCAUGAUUCCUUCCUUGCUACAACUAUAAAUAGGGGUCUCAUAAUUCUGAAAAAAGAACCAAGAACUCUAACAAGAAGCAAAGGAAAGUUAUUGAGUUCAAUUGGUGUGAAUAGAAAAUGAAAUUUUUUUUGGAAGGGAUACAACUCUUCGAGUAAAACACACACUAUUUUGGAAAAAAGUAUGACUGUUUAGAUGGUUGUUGUAAUACCCCGAAAAUUCCAACCGAUAGUAGAACCAUAAUUCAACCUCAUGAGAAAUAAAUUAUAGUUCACUGUUAGUUUGAUGGUCAAGUUUGGUGUGUAUUAAGACCUCAAAUAUGUCCUAGCUAUUAGGUGAAUCAAAACAUCCCUUACCGAUUGAAUUCUUAAGAAUGAUUUUGGUAUAGUCAACUUCAAAUGAGCAUGUAUGCUGUUAUACUGCAAAUUUUUUAGAUAAUUUCUGACCAACAGAUAGAUAAUUGAAUUAUCUUUUCAACGAUACCAAUUUUUCCAAAAUCCGGUAUCGGAGUAAAAAGUUAUGACCGUUUUACUGAGAGUUGUCCGAACUGCCCAGGAGCGACGGGCAAGCUGACGGACCGUCAAGUCAGUGACGGACCAUCGCUCUGGCCAUCGCAACUGAGGCAGUAAGGCUUUUUUAUGGCUCAAAAAUGAUGGUUGGAGUGACGGUCAGUCACUACAGUGAUGUUCCAUCACUAGAGUGACUGUUCGUCACCCAGACCAUCAACUUUGUUCGAAACAUCGUUGAAACAACAUUUUAAAAGGCUUUUUGGGUCUUUUUCCACCCUUUUAACCCCUAAUUACAUCAAAUCAAAGCACAUAAUUUCAUAUUCAUCCAUAGCAUCAAAAUUAGGGUUUCUCUCAAGACUAUCUCCCAAGAACAAUAUUCAAGAACUUUUCAAGAGUACUCAAGAAUCAAAACGUCACCAUUCAAGAACCUUCAUGAAAAGCCUCCAAGAACUUUCUCAGGGUUUUAAAAGUCAACUUGUUCCAUUGAAUAAAGCCAAAUAAGGUAUGUGGGGUUUGAACAAGGACACUCUUUUCGUCCUUGUGCCUAAAAGUUGUUUUAAUUACAAAGAUAUAUGGUUUUACAUGUUUUCUUAUGAAAUUGAAGUAUGGGUUUAUACCUUAUGUUAUUAUUUCUUGAUAUUAUGAUAUUUCCCAUGUUCUAAAAAUUGAAUUAUAUGAGUAUGUCGAUGUUAUAAUGCAUAUUUCUGAAAUUUUCCAGAUUUUGAGAUGAUUUAUGAAUAUUUAUGAUAUCAAAUAUGAAUUUUGAGAUGUUUUAACAUGAUAUUGAUAUAUGGGUCACUAAGCCUUAUUUGAGAUUGUGAUUUUGAGAACUUUUAUGCUAUAAGCACCCAUGAUUUGAGUAUUUUGAGAUUAUUGAGAAAGAUUUGACCUUGACGGUCAUAGUAGCUUUGAAAUCCACUUUACUAAAUGAGAUUACAGAUUUUAUAGUUGGGUUCUUUAUGAACCAUGAUAUUAUUUUAAAAAUGGAUUUACUAUGAGAUGAGUUUAGCUAACUAAAGGUAGUAGUAUUUAACACCGAGUUGGGUAAAUUACUAUGGUUUCAUACCCCAGAACUAUGUGCCACCAUAGAAUUGAGAUUUAUGGGCCCAAGGCCGAGAUAGUGAGCACUAAGUUGAGGUUAUACUCCCUGGAAAGAGCAUGACGCCUCUCCCCAAUGUGAGGUUUCUUCCUUAGGAGGAUUAAACGUUGAACUCCAUGUAGCUCGUAUGGUGUAUGUCGGUUAAGAGAACCUCCCUAAUAGUAAGAUUUUCAGAGUAGUUUCUUAAAGUAUAAUUUUCCCUUGAAGAAAGUAUUUUUUUCCCGGCUAGUAAAAGUAAAUAACAACUUUUGAGUACAUUUCUUAAGGUAAGUAUUUUCCCUAAUGAUUUUAGGAAACCAAGUGUAAAGGCUCACAAAACUUGUUCAGAUAUUGAAUUACUUGAGAUUUUCAGUUACAGAGUUACAGCUUUAGUUUUCAGACACAAACGUGAGCUCCUUUUUCACUUAGCCUAUAUAAAUUGUGAUAAAGUAUUUCUUAUGCAGAAAGAAAUUACAGAUUUUAUUUAUCUUACAAGAUUAUGAGAACAAGAAGAGAAUACAGAUUUUAGAAUUAAAUGUUGUGGCUUACGAGAUUUGUAAAGCAUGUUUUCUUCUUAUUGCUACUUAUUUCAGUAUUUCAGAUAUUCCAGCUUAUGUGAGUCACUUACAUUUAGCAAUGUAUUGAUUUAUAAAUGAUGACUAUGAGAUAUAUUUUUACUUUUGCAUUCACCCCCAUAUACUCAGUACAUCCUCAAAGUACUGAUCCACAUAUAUGUCUAUGUGUUACAUUGUCUCAUAAUGUAGGUACAAGUUUCAGUAUGCAUAUUCAGACUCAGACAGUUGCAAAUUCUAGCCUGUAAGAUGAUGAGUCCUCCUACUUCGAGGACAUCAGUUACACUUAUUUAUAUUCUUUACUUUCUCAUUUAUACGUUUGAUUAGCAAUAAUUGGAGUAGCUUCCCAGCUGUCUAUAGUUAGUUUUAGUAGAGGCUUCAUAGACAGACAGUAGAGUUAAUAUAUUUAAUUUUAGUUUUCUUUGUAAAAGCAGAGUUGUAAUCAUGUGAAUUCAGUUUUGUAUUGAACAUAUUUCAGAAAAGAGUUAUCUUCCACUGAUUUUGAUAGAUUUAGCUAUUUUAUUCAGUUGCUUAUGAGUUAUGCCAGUAGAAGGGUUAGCUUGGGGUCACUUAUGAUUCUAAGCACCAUGUGACGUCUCGGGACCCAUUUUCGAGGAGUUACAAAUUUGGUAUCAGAGAACAAAGUUCAAGUGUCCUAGGGUGUUUGUGAAGAUGUGUCUCGUACAGUCUUGCGGAACGGUAUAGAGAUGUCUGUACUUUUCUUCGAGAGUCUACAGGGAAUUUAGUAAAUGUUUUCCUUCUUUUAAGGCUCAGAUUGUGCUAUAGAAAGGUUCUCUAAGAAACUUAUUCAGAUUCUCAUCUUGCUCUAUUCAGACCAUCUCUGGCUUAUUUUUAAGGUAACAAAAAUAGUUAAGCCUAAAUCUUUACAGAUAGAGCUUUCUUAGACAGUCCCCACAGAUAGUUAUAGGAUUGUACGCAGCCUCAAAAGUAUCUCAUUAAUUCUUUUAAGUUUUGAGUUUUGAAGAACUUCAUUUAUGUUCAUGGAAAUAGUAUGCUAAGCCCAAGUCAGAUGUACUUUCAGAUCGCUCCUUAGAAUCUAUAAUGUUAAUCUAUACUUCUCUAUCUAUGUAAUGUUCUGGAGAUAACAUGAUUGACAAAUUUUAAAUUCCUCUCUUGAUAAUGCUCUUAGAUUUGCUAGCAAAAAGUUUCAGAAUGCACUCAAGGGUUUGAGAAGAUCUCUUUAGUGUGUCAUAAGUCCCUCAAGCUGAAAGUUAUGUCCUCAUUCUUAUGAGUUGUUCAGUUGAUGCAGAAUUAGAUAUGUAUUUAGAUUGCUCGUUGACCUUUUUAAUACAGAUAAUACUCAUGAGAGGAGAUAGUAUGAACCUAGACUGUCAAGUGUAGUGUGCAUUUGAGGGAUAUUAUGAACUUCAGUGUUAUGAUUUAUGAAUAGUAGAACCUUAUUAUAGUUGGAAGUAUGGGUAUAGAAGAGAAGUGUCAAGAGGAUGUGGGAAUGACGAUUGGUAGGAAGUAUAGAUGUAAGCUUAUGCAUGUUAUCGAGAUACGUUAAGGUGAUAUGUCCCUAUGUGUUAGUUUAGUGGAAGGUAGCGACGGAGUUAUUAGUAAGGUGAAUCGUUGUUGCUUGAAGUAUGGGAAGAUUUAUUGGUAGUAUUUAUUGUGUUUGAAAAGUAUAGUAUAUUAAUGAAGCAUCUGGUGGUCUAGUGGCAUUAAUUUAGGUUUCCCUUGAGGCGACAAAGAGGUUGUUUAGUUGAGACUUAUAGAGCUAUGAUAGUAAUUCAAAUGUAUAAAAUGGUAAAUAGUAAUGAAGUGUAGAAGGAGGAUGUGUUAAUGUAUUAUGAUAAGAUAGGCCUUAUCAUUUUGAUUGAUUAUUGUUGCUCGAAAGUUCAAAUGAAAUAGUGUUUCUUGAUGUUAUAUUUUAUAGUUUUCGAGGGAGAAUUGUAAGUAAGGUGAGUUGUCAAAUCAUGCUUGACACUAGACAUAAAGUUUGAAUAGUGGAUGGUUACCAAGGUGGGUAUGAUGAUUCCCUGGUUAGUGUGGCUAAUUGUAUGGGAGUAAUCUUGUAGGCUUGAACCAUGUAUAAAAGAGUUUGAGUUUAGUUAUUCGUCAUUAAGUAUGGUGUUGCAAGUAUAAUGUGCAACUGUAUGCUCAAGGUAAUAUAGUGUUGCUUUGUCUUUCUAAGGUUAUUACGUGUUGUGUAUGGUUGGUAAUACCCUUGAUCUAAUAAGUAUGAAUGAGGUUGUGUAGUAUAUGGUGUUCUUGUCAGUUAACUUAUGGGUUAUAGGUUGGUGAUGUGGUAUGUUAGAGAUGUGAUAUUAGCAGAAUAUAAAGGAAGUUUAGCCUAGGUUUAGAGAUAUCUAUGUUUAGUGUUAGAAUCUAAGUUGGCGAGUGUUUAAGUUGUUAUAUGAUGGCUUAUGGGGCUAUAGAAAUCUAAAAGUUGAAUCUUAGAAGGAGGUGUUAGCAUUGGGUGUUAUAUGUGAAGAUACAGUCCUUCAGGGUAAGUUUAGUUUUAUUUGUAUUGAUUUUAUCCCAGACUCUAGAAUAAAGUGAUUGCGGUUUAGAUUAAAGCUUAUAUAGUGGUUCACAAACUGAGAGUGAUGGCUUAAGUCUAAAGGGGAGAUGACAGAAGGAGUAACCAAGUCAGACUUCGAGAUUCUUGUUGAAAUGCCUAGUAGUGUAGAAAACCCGUAAGAGAGGAUGAUGCCCAACCCAUUCUUAUUUCAGUAUUUUCAGUUAUACCAAUACCUACUCAUGCCUUAUGUUUUAGUUCCAUGAUUAUAGUUCAUGUUCAUGCAUAUGAUAGAGAAUCAUGUGCCCUCCUAGUUCCCAAAAAGAGAAGUUCCAGUUCUUUCAAUAGUUGGAAUCACAUUCCAUAAGUGAUAAACUCCAAAUUUAGGUCAUGCAGCUCAUGACUCAUGUACUCAAGGUUUACAAUAUGUUUAGUUCAAGCACUCAAGCAAUACUCUUAAUGAUCAGCGUAAUUCGAAUUUAUAUCAUGCAUGUCCUCAGAUCAAACCUCUUUGAUGAGUUCAUGAUGUUAAAUAUUGUAUUCCUCAAGCCUCAAUUGAGUGUCAAGUUAUACACAGUAUCCUUUCAUGUUUCAAGUCCUUAUGUUCUAACCUUUUAUUACAUUUCCUUAGGUCAAGAUAGUGAUGACGAACAGUUGUAUGGAUAGGAGAGAGUAAACAUUUCUUGUUAGUGAAAGAUUGUUGAAUGCUUAUUUUAGCUAAGGCUAUAAGUGUGAAGUAGGAUUGAGGCCAAGUCGUUGAUACACGUCAUGGUUAGUUAAAGUUUUAUAUGUUAUGUGUGAGUAGUUGAAAUUUUAUGUAUGUCUUCUUAAGAAUAGUGCACGGAAGUUGUUCUUGAUAGAGGUUUGUAGGUUAUGGACAAGAUGUUUAUGAGCAUUUGUAUAGAAGUGCAUAUGGGGUUAUGAAGAUAGGCUUGAAUGUCAUGUUUGUAUACAAGCGGAGGGAUGCAUUGAGCAUUAGUAAUGUCUAGUACUAUGAGUAUUGUAGUUGUUGGAGUGGUAAUGAGGAUUAUUCUGGAGAUAAGAAGUUGUAAGAAGUGCAUAUGCGUGUGAAUAUAUGAUUCUGACUGGUGUUAUGUUCUGGUGUUAUGUGUGAUACCUUGUGAUUUUGAGUUAGGAAUAACCAUAACGAGAGAGUUGGGUUCAGUUAGACUUUGGUAGAUGUAUUUGUCAACGGCCAUGUGAGAAUUAUAAGUUGAGUCAAUGAGUAUGGUGUUUAAGGGGAAAGUUUAGUUAAGAGAGUAUUUUAGAAGUGUGGCUAAGCUUUAAAAUGAGAAGUUGCAUUUCUUGAGGCCUAGUACUUCUAUCCCGACUUAGAAAGGUGUUGAAGAAAGACCCUAUUUGGUGGAGAGCAUUCAGCAUAAUUUAGUCCGUGCAGCCAGAAAUUCGUUUUACAUCUUCUAAUUUAGUCUAGUCUCACUACCUAAAAAUUUUGUGAGUAUGACCAUUUCAAGAGAUAUUUUGUUCGCAUCCAAGUAGAUUUCAAAAUUCAGUUCAGUACAUGCAUUAUGCAUUAGUUCCAGAUUCAGAUAUUAGGUCAUGGUUCAAUCCGUAAGUAUCCUAUAUAUCAUCUUAGUCUUUUCUAGUAUUUCAACCAAAUUAGUAUCAUUCGGGAAUGAAUGAUCUCGGGGAGGGGUGUUAUAAUACCCCGAGUUUUAAUGCCAUAAACCUCUCAUCUCUUCUCUGCGAACUCGAACACAGCCGAAGGUGAUAGCCUUCUUUAAUUCAGUUCUUUUCUAAUCAAAGAUUCAACAAUAUAGCUAUUCUUAUUAUAAGUUCAUGCAUUCCCAGAAGUACUCAAAGGGUUAGAAUGAUUUAGAAUUAUUUUAGUAAUAUAUUUCAGCUAUGCAUCCUCAAUUUUCUCAGCUAGCCAACCACAUUUGAGGGCGAAUGUUCCUAAGGGAGAGAUAUUAUAAUACCCCAAGAAUUUCAACCGAUAGUGGAACCAUGCUUCAAAAUCAUGAGAAGUAAAUUAUAGUGAAUUAGUAGUUUUAUGGUCAAGGUUGGUGUGUAUUAAGACCUCAAAUAUGUCCUAAAUAUUAGGCAAAUCAAAACAUCCCUUACCGAUUGAAUUCUUGAGAAGGAUUUUGAUAUAGUCAACUUCAAAUGAGCAUAUCUUUUUUUAUAUUGCAAAUUUUUGAGAUCAUCACCCGCUAAUAGAUAGAUAAUUAAAUUAUAUUUCUAAUGAUACCAAUUUUGCCAAAAUCCGGUAUCGGAGUAAAACGUUAUGGCCGUUUUACUGAGAGUUGUCUGAACUGCCCAAGAGCGACGGGAAAGCUGACGGACCGUCAAGUUAGCGAUGGACCGUCGCUCUGGCCAUCACAAUUGAGGCAGUAAGACUGUUUUCUAGCCCAAAUUUGAUGGUUGGAGUGACGGUCAGUCACCAGAGUGACGGUCCAUCACCCAGACCAUCAACUUUGUCCGAAACAGCGCUGAAAUGACGUUUUAAAGGGCUUUUUAGGUCUUUUUCCACCCUUUUUAACCCCUAAUUACUUCAAAUCAAAGCACAUAACUUCAUAUUCAUCCAUAGCAUCAAAAUUAGGGUUUAUCUCAAGACUAUCUUCUAAGAACAAUAUUCAAGAAAUUCUUCAAGAGUACUCAAGAAUCAAAACGUCACCAUUCAAGAACCUUCAAGAAAAGCCUCCAAGUACUUUCUCAAGGCUUCAAAAGUCAACUUUUUCCAUUGAAUAAAGCCAAAUAAGGUAUGUGGGGUUUGAAUAAGGACACUUCUUUCAACCUUGUGCCCAAAAGUUAUUUUAAUUACAAAGAUAUAUGGUUUUACAUGUUUUCUUAUGAAAUUAAAGUAUGGGUUUAUACCCUAUGUUAUUAUUCUUGAGAUUAUGAUAUUUCCCAUGUUCUAAAAAUUGAAUUAUAUGAGUAUGUUGACGUUAUAAUGCAUAUUGCUGAAAUUUUCCAGAUUUUGAGAUGAUUUAUGAAUAUUUAUGAUAUCAAGUAUGAAUUUUGAGAUGUUUUAACAUGAGAUUGAUAUAUGGGUCAUUAAGCCUUAUUUGAGAUUAUGAUUUUGAGAACUUUUGUGCUAUAAGCACCCAUGAUUUGAGUAUUUUGAGAUUAUUGGAAAAGCUUGACCUUGACGGUCAUAGUAGCUUUGAAAUCCACUUUACUAAAUUAGAUUAAAGAUUUUAUAGUUGAGUUCUUUAUGAACCAUGAGAUAAUUUUAAAAGUGGAUUUCCUAUGAGAUGAACGUAGCUAACUAAAGGGAGUAGUAUUUAUCAUCAAGUUGGGCAAGUUACUACAGUUUUAUACCCCAGAACUACGUGCCACCAUAGGAUUGAGAUUUAUGGGCCCGAGGCCGAGAUAGUGAUCACUGAGUUGAGGUUAUACUCCCUGGCAAGAGUAUGACACCUCUCCCCAACGUGAGGUUUCUUCCUUAGGAGAACAAAACAUUGGAAUCCGUGUAGCUCACAUGGUGUAUGUUGGUUAAGAGAACCUCCCUAAUAGUAAGAUUUUCAGAGUAGUUUCAUAAAGUAUAAUUUUUCGUUGAAGAAAGUAUUUUUUUUCCCUGCUAGUAAAAGUAAAUAACAGCUAUUGAGUAUAUUUCUUAAAGUAAGUAUUUUCCCUAAUGAUUUUAGGAAACUAAGUGUAAAGGUUCACAAAACUUGUUCAAAUAUUAAAUUACUUGAGAUUUUCAGUUACAGAGUUACAGCUUUAGCUUUCAGACACAAAGGUGAGCUCUUUUUUCACUUAGCCUAUAUGAAUUGAGAUAAAGUAUUUCUUAUGCAAAAAGAAAUUUUAGAUUUUAUUUAGUUUACAAAAUUACGAGAACAAGAAGAGAAUACAGAUUUUAGAAUUAAAUGUUGUGGCUCAUGAGAUUUGUAAAGAAUGUUUUGCUUCUUAUUGCUACUUAUUUCAGUAUUUCAGAUAUUCCAGCUUAUGUGAGUCACUUACAUGUAGCAAUGCAUUAUUUUAUAAAUGAUGACUAUGAGAUAUGUUUUUACUUGUGUAUUCACCCCCAUAUACUCAGUACAUCCUCAAAGUACUAAUCCACAUACAUGUCUACGUGUUACAUUGUCUCAUAAUGUAGGUACAAGUUUCAGUAUGCACAUUCAGAAUCAGACAGUUGCAGACUCCAGCCUGUGAGAUGAUGAGUCCUCCUACUUUGAGGACUUCAGUUACACUUAUUUAUAUUCUUUACUUUCUCAUUCAUACUUAUUGAUUAGCGAUAAUUGGAGUAGCUUUCCAGCUGUCUAUAGUCAGUAUUAGUAGAGGCUUCAUAGACAGAUAGUAAGUUAAUAUAUUCAAUUUCAGUUUUCUUUAUAAAAAUAGAGUUGUAAUAAUGUGAAUUCAAUUUUGUAUUGAACAGAUUUCAGAAAAGAUUUAUUUUCCA